rnacentral:rRNA from 1 species
AUGGAGCAAUCAACGGCGGCAAGUCCAUGGCUACUUCUUCUCUGCCUCGCCGUCGCUGCCACGGGCGGCGCACUCCAAGCUCGUGCCCAGCCGGACGUCAACGGUUUCAUAAGCAUUGACUGCGGGCUCGCCGGGAAGACGACGAGCUACGUGGACGACACCACCAAGCUGUUGUACACCAGCGACACCGAUUUCAUCGGCAACGUUGGCUCCACCCACAACAUCUCCGCCCAGUACAUGGUCAGGCCGACGCACCUCUCGAGACGCUACCACAGCGUGCGCAGCUUCCCCGACGGCGUGCGGAACUGCUACACGCUCCGGUCCCUCGUGCCCGGGGGCAAGUACCUCCUCCGUGCCUCGUUCAUGUACGGCGACUACGACGGCCUCGGCAGUCUACCCAUUUUUGAUCUGCACGUCGGUGUCAACUAUUGGCAGACCGUAAACAUCUCAGAGCCAGAUCUUGAGGUGACCGCCGAGGCCGUCGUGUUUGUGCCGGACGAGUUUGUUCAUGUGUGCUUGUUGAACACCGGCGCCGGGACGCCCUUCAUCUCGGACCUGGAGUUGAGGCCGCUGAAGAAGAAGUUCUACCCGCAGGCAAAUUUGACGAAGGGUCUCGUUCUGGAACACAGGCUGAACCUCGCGCCCCCGGACACCAGCAUCGUCAGGUACCCUGUAGAUCCACACGACCGUGUAUGGCUCCCUAAGAGUGAUGCAAAAAUGUGGAGCAGCAUAUCAACUACGGAGACGGUGCAGAGUGAUGGCGAUGUCUUCGAGGUACCAUCGAUGGUGAUGCAGACGGCAGUCACGCCGCUAAAUGCCGCCAUGAACCUCGAGAUCAUUUGGAGCCCCAACCCUCAGCCCCAGAACCAGUCCCUAGGAUAUCUCAUCAUCAUGCAUUUCUCCGAGCUGCAAUUGCUUCCUAGCAACGCCGAGCGCCAGUUCUACAUCAGCAUUAACGACAUGCAGUUACCCGAACCUGUUAGCCCACACUACCUUGGCACGGGCUUCGUGUCCAAUGGAAAUGCACGUUACCGAGACAACAAGUACAACAUCUCCAUGUACGCCACCGCCAACUCGACGCUACCACCUGUAAUCAGUGCCGUCGAGUUUUUCUCCGUCAUCUCCGCCACCAACAUUGCCACUGACUCCCAGGAUGUAUCUGCCAUCAUGGCGAUCAAAGCGAAUUAUGAGGUGCAGAAGAAUUGGAUGGGUGACCCAUGUGUUCCAAAGACUAUGGUCUGGGAAAGGCUGACAUGCAGCUACACCAGUGACAACUCUCCAAGGAUAAUAAGCAUAAAUCUUUCCUCUAGUGGCCUCAAUGGUGAUAUAUCCUCUUCUUUCACGAAUUUCAAGGCCGUCCAGUACUUGGAUUUGUCAAACAAUAACUUGACAGGCUCAAUACCAGGCUCCCUUUCGCAAUUGACAUCAUUGACAAUUUUAGAUUUGUCAGGCAACCACCUCAAUGGAUCAAUCUCACCUGAGCUCCUCAAAAGGACUCAAGAUGGCAGCCUGAAUCUAAGACAUGGCAACAACCCAGACAUUUGCACUGACGGCAAUUCAUGCCAGCCUACUAAAACGAAGAACAAGUUGGCCAUCUACGGUGUUGUCCUUAUAGCUGUCAUUGUGGUGCUGGUAUUAGUGGCAGUAGCGCUCUUUUUCUUUCUAAGACAAAGAAAUCCAGAAUCUAUGAACAACUCCGUCAAGUCACAUAAAGAAAUGAAAAACGAUGGGCAUAGGACAGAAAAGGAUGGCUAUGGGAACAGUCCACUUGGAUUGGAGACUCGUCAAUUCACCUACAUCGAACUUGAGAGAAUAACCAACAACUUCCGACGAGUGCUUGGCAAGGGAGGGUUUGGUAAUGUUUACGAAGGCUCACUAGAGGAUGGUACACAAGUAGCGGUGAAGAUUCGGUCAAAGUCCUCCAAUCAAGGCGACAGGGAAUUCCUCACGGAGGUUCAAAUUUUAACCCUCAUACAUCACAAGAAUCUUGUCUCCAUGAUUGGAUACUGCAAGGAUGGGGAGCACAUGGCACUUGUGUACGAGUUCAUGUCAGAGGGGACCCUAGAAGAGCACAUUUCAGGAAAAGGCAACAAUGCGGUAUGCUUACCCUGGAGACAGAGACUCCGAAUUGCAGUUGAAUCCGCUCAAGGGCUGGAGUACCUACACAAGGGGUGCAAUCCACCUUUGGUUCACAGGGAUGUUAAGGCCACAAACAUCCUGCUGAAUGCCAAAUUAGAGGCUAAGAUUGCUGAUUUCGGCCUGUCCAAGGCUUUUCAUCACAAUGAUGACACACAUGUUUCCACAAACAGAAUCGUUGGUACACCAGGAUAUGUGGAUCCAGACUACCAGACAACAUGGCGGGCCACAAGCAAGAGUGACGUGUACAGCUUUGGCAUCGUGUUGCUUGUGCUUGUCACUGGGAAGCCACCCAUCUUGCGCACCCCACAUACCAUCAGCAUCAUCGAGUGGGUGCAACAACGGCUAGCACAGGGAAACAUCGAGGGUGUGGUGGAUGUGCGGAUCCAUGGUGAUCAUGACAUAAAUAGUAUGUGGAAAGCCGCUGUUAUUGCGCUGAAGUGCACCACUGAGGCAUUGGCAGAACGGCCCACCAUGACCGAUGUCGUUGCUCAACUUCAAGAGUGCCUCAAUCUAGAGGAGGAAUUGGCUGACGGUGGGUCUGACAGCGGCAUCUACAACGGCACCAAUAGCGAUGACAUAAACUGGACAGAUGAUGCUUACUCUACAAACAAGUCUACAAACUCAAGUCAGAGAGCUGCACUUGAGAAAGAGCAUAAUUUUGGCAGGGUCCCAACAAUGGACACCGGACCUGCCGUGCGAUGA